CUUGUAAUUCCCUUGUUGCUAAUAGAGUUUAAAGCAGUUUCUAUGUCUUCCUUUUUGAAUGUAGAGCAGAGCCAGCUCUUUAAGAAGUAUUUUAUCCAGAAAAAAGUACGAACAUUUGAAACAUGAAGUUUUUGGAACAAUGCAAACUUAAUGACAUUUUCCCUGCGACAAUCAACAUCAAACUACCUGUGCAUUCUAAAAAAGUCCUAAUUAAUACUAAGAAAAUUUUAUUAAAAGCUGCAAUACUGGAUGCUGGAAGAAAAUUUUUUAAGAUUUGUUCAGAAGUCAUUAGAUUCUUAAAUGGCACCACACAAACCCAGGUACUGCCUGACAAGCUAAGCCAAUUAGAAUAAAAAGCAGAAAGACUUAGAGAACAUUUAAGAAAGAAAUAUAUAGCUAAGAUCAAAUGGAUAUUUAGAAAGCAAGGAGUUCUUAAGAGAAAAACGCAUGUACCUCUAGAAAAAUCUCUUACUGUCAUAGGAGAUAUAGAUGUUCCUCCCUUUGCCCAGCAACUUUUUAGAAAAGGCCCAGCAUGUACUCUAAGAAGAAACGUAGGCACGAAAACAGAGAUUCUUUACUUAGAAGAUUUAUUGAAAAGCACCCAAGAACGACCCAUAGAUAAAGAAAAAUACAGAUGGCAGUUUGUAAGAGAGAAAACAGAACAGCAUAGUAGAGUAAAUUUAUACACUCUAGCUACGAGUAGGUAUGACCUUGAAUUGCUGAAACAAACUAAAUGCUGGAUGGACCAAAACCAUUAUACGAUCACUAGAGAAGACAAAACAAAAAGAAUGAUUUUGAUAAAAGAAGAGGAAUAUGAAACAUUCUUACAUAAGUACAUACAAGAUUCCCAACCACUUCUGCUGAAUAAAGACCCCAUAUAUGACCUUAAAGUUGCAGUAGACAACCUCUGUAAAAAUAAACAUAUAGCUAAUCUUUGGAAAUCUGGCC
rnacentral:lncRNA from 1 species